rnacentral:rRNA from 1 species
GACGAACGCUGGCGGCGUGCUUAACACAUGCAAGUCGAGCGAGGACCGCACUCUUUUGGGUGUGGAGCCGAGCGGCGAACGGGUGAGUAACACGUGAGCAACCUGCCCCUGGCUCUGGGAUAGCCCUGGGAAACCGGGAUUAAUACCGGAUAUGACCGCUGCUCGCAUGGGUGGUGGUGGAAAGGUUCCCCCUUGUGGGGUUCCGGCCGGGGAUGGGCUCGCGGCCUAUCAGCUUGUUGGUGGGGUGACGGCCUACCAAGGCGAUGACGGGUAGCCGGCCUGAGAGGGUGGACGGCCACACUGGGACUGAGACACGGCCCAGACUCCUACGGGAGGCAGCAGUAGGGAAUCUUCCGCAAUGGGCGAAAGCCUGACGGAGCGACGCCGCGUGAGCGAGGAAGGCCUUCGGGUCGUAAAGCUCUGUUGUCAGGGAAGAAGGCGCGCCGUUCGAACAGGGCGGCGCGG